AGCCACACAAAGUACUGUUUUUGAAAACGCUAAGAUUGUUUCUAGAAAGCCUCCACAGUCGUUGCCAGCAAGUGCUGUUCAGUCAAAAGCGAAAAAAUGAAAAACGUUGCGGCUUUUUUUGUGUUUGGUGCCGUUUUGCCAUUUUCACUGGGUCAAUCUAGGCCAACAGUGAGCAUAAAGAAGCAAUUUUUACCUGUAUACUUGGGGGACACCAUAGUACUCACCUGCUCAGGAGGAGGCAGCGUCAAAUGGUAUUUCGAUAGUACUGUAAUCCCAGAUCAAACGCAACAAAACUAUAUCGUCAUCAUAAAGUCUAUUAGUGCACAAGGCCGAUAUGUGUGCGAGAGGAAUGGAAUGAAGAGUGAAGCAUUUCAGCUCAAAGUUGAAGUUGUCACCUUCUCACCAGGCUGUUUACUGAUGGUAAUGUAGCCAAUUCCACCUUUGUGACGAUCAAAAAUCUUUUCUCUGGUGUCCUUAGAUGUCUCUUUGGUAUUUCCCAUGGUCAUAAGGUUGAAGAUGUAGACAGACGCCUUUCCUCCAGAGAUCCUAGUCAUUCAGUCUGGAGAUUCAGUGGUCUAUAAAGAUGACUCUGUUCAUCUAGCCCUUUAUGUGGACAACGACUGGAAGAAUUGGAUGUGUUAUGUGUAUAAAAACCAGAGCCUUUACCGUGUUAUGAUAAAAGAUUACCCAAAAACCGGCCCUUUGGAGUUCAUGACGUCCUCUGUGGAGAAGACCUCAGAACCAUAUAUUUAUUGGUGUAAAAAUAAGAUCACAAACGCAACAAGCAGCACUGUUGUACUCUCAGUAACCGAUCGUUGGACACAACUAGUGCCUCACCCUGCUCUGCCGGAACUGGGAAAACAAUUAGAACUGGAAUGCAUUGUUCGUGGCGCACCAAAGAUAAGAAAUGUCAUUUUCUAUAAAGAUGGUAAAGCAAUGCUGACUCCAAAAAACAAUGUGAAAUACCUGAUUGAGAAUAUAAGAAAGACCGACGAAGGAAACUACGAAUGUCAAGCUACCUACACCUUCCAAGCGAGUACCAGCAAUAGCGAGUUCACUGUCAAAUCUGAGCCUCAUAAAGUCUUUGGCAUAGAAGUAACUCUAGUGGCAGUCAUGUCAUACACAUCAGGGAAUCCUGUGUGCACUUGCAGCAAAUGCAGAUCUGGCGGCAAGUCUGAAUUCUAUGAGAUUGUAAAUGGUCACUAUAAAAAAGUUAACAGCGGAUACCAAUACCACCUACCCCAGGGGAAGUACGCCUGUAGAGUUCGCUGGGAUACCGGAGCCUCCUCAUUCAGUCUGCCAUUGUCUGUGUCAGGAGAGGCUGAUCGAAUUUGGAUGUAAUCUUGGAUAAUCAGGGAUAUGAGGCCCUGAAGACAUCUAAGGCAGAGGAAGGUGCAGGAGUGUACCACACACAAGCAGGGGAACAUGAAGUAGGAUGUGAGGCACUGACGCUGUCCAAGGCAGAGGGGAAGGAAGGGGAGUAUCAGACUAUUCAGCCAGGAGGAAAUUAAAUGGGGGCCUGCAGGAAGGGAAAUGCCAAACUAACAGGGAAACAAAGGGGUGGGGGGGAGAGAGAGAGGAAGUAAACAGCUGAAGAGAAAUGGAGCUAAUGUCUCUGAUACAUGUACAUGGGUGACGAUUGUUUUUACAUUGUUUGCUCUAUUUUUUUGAGACUCGAUGGUUAUGCUAUAAUGCAAAAAAAUGCUGUUUGGCCCUAAAUGUACUUUAUUUACCCACUGAAAUGGUAACUAAAUGCUACAGUUAUUACAGGUUGUAGACCAUCCACUCUUCAUUACAAUCAGAACAUCAGUAUUAUCAAUGGAGUGAAAAUGAUUAUUGUCUUACAGGUGGUCUGUCAUCAGUGGGUUACAUGGGAAGUGGCAUUUGCACGUCUGUGGUGUGUGAAUCCAGUGUGUGUGACACAAACACAUGAAUAACAGUGUGUAAGUGUUAAAGGAAAGAUGUGGCUAUUGAGUAAGGAGCCAAUCGUGUGAUCAUACGUUUCUUUCUUUAUUUCAUUAAACUUCUACAUAUACAUUUAACUAUACAAUUACAAGCGUCAUAUAAAGUAUAUUUCUGCUUUGAUAUUGCAUUUUAAUCAUAACUCCAUUUUUAAUGGGGAACUUUAUACAUUUUGAUGAGCUCAGUUAUAUGGUGAAAACAUGUAUAGAAUGUGUCGCUUUCCAAAUUUGUAUUAAAAACAGCCAUAUAAACACUACAUUCUAAAAGAUGACAUAUUUAACCAGUUUAUAGAUGAAUAUGAAUAUAAGGUUACUUACUUGUCAUUAAGCAGUUAAUUGAAUAUGUUUGUGUGAAUUAAAUGAUAUAUGAUAUCUAAAAAU